rnacentral:rRNA from 1 species
UGGGGAAUAUUGGACAAUGGGCGAAAGCCUGAUCCAGCCAUGCCGCGUGUGUGAAGAAGGUCUUCGGAUUGUAAAGCACUUUAAGUUGGGAGGAAGGGCUGCAAGUUAAUACCAUGUAGUUUUGACGUUACCAACAGAAUAAGCACCGGCUAACUUCGUGCCAGCAGCCGCGGUAAUACGAAGGGUGCAAGCGUUAAUCGGAAUUACUGGGCGUAAAGCGCGCGUAGGUGGUUUGGUAAGAUGGAUGUGAAAUCCCCGGGCUCAACCUGGGAACUGCAUCCAUAACUGCCUAACUCGAGUACGGUAGAGGGUGGUGGAAUUUCCCGUGUAGCGGUGAAAUGCGUAGAUAUAGGAAGGAACACCAGUGGCGAAGGCGACCACCUGGACUGAUACUGACACUGAGGUGCGAAAGCGUGGGGAGCAAAC